GAUGAACGCUGGCGGCGUGCCUAUACAUGCAAGUCGAGCGAACGGACGAGAAGCUUGCUUCUCUGAUGUUAGCGGCGGACGGGUGAGUAACACGUGGGUAACCUACCUAUAAGACUUGGAUAACUUCGGGGAACCGUAGCUAAUACCGGAUAAUAUUUUGAACCGCCUGGUUCAAAAGUGAAAGACGGUCUUGCUUUUCCCUAUAUAUGGAUCCGCGCUGCAUUAGCUAGUUGGUAAGGUAACGGCUUACCAAGGCAACGAUGCAUAGCCGACCUGAGAGGGUGAUCGGCCACACUGGAACUGAGACACGGUCCAGACUCCUACGGGAGGCAGCAGUAGGGAAUCUUCCGCAAUGGGCGAAAGCCUGACGGAGCAACGCCGCGUGAGUGAUGAAGGUCUUCGGAUCGUAAAACUCUGUUAUUAGGGAAGAACAUAUGUGUAAGUAACUGUGCACAUCUUGACGGUACCUAAUCAGAAAGCCACGGCUAACUACGUG
rnacentral:rRNA from 1 species